GAACGCAGUUACUAUCUUUUACAGGUUCCAGAUGUGAAAGUAGAGGAUAUCAAAUUGUUCCAAAUGGACCCAUUUGGUUAGGUGAAAGUGUGUUCCUUCGGGUUAAAAUUCCAAACAUGAAGAGACCCAUUUUUUGGCAAAGUGAAAACUUUACAUUAGAUUGUAAUACAACUUGUACCAAAAGUAAUGACUACAGAGUUUCACAAGAACAUGAUCACUCGUAUCUAUGGAUUCGAAAUGUAUCCUGGGAGUUUUCAAACUGGUUUUUUUACGAAGGCAAUCAUAAAUUUGGACAUAUCAGUUUGGACAUAAACGUGAAACCGAAAAUUGCAAUCAAAAGCACAAGCACCGGAUACAAACUAAUGGCCGUCUGUUCUUUACCUACUACAGUAAUAGAAUGUUACCAAGGAAAGAAACCUUUGACAUUUACCGAAGCCAGUCAGAGCAAUUGUUCCGAUGGGAGAACAUUUAGCAACAUCGGAACAUUAAGCUUUUCGGAGUUUUGUGGAAAUGUGAGCUGCCAGUUUUCUACUGGCAAUAUAUUCCGGGAAUACCGAAUGUGGCACUUUGAGAGUGAAGAAUUUUCCACAAGAAUUGUUAGCGCCGAAUAUAUUCUUCUGCUUGCUUCUUGUGCUCUAUUCAUUGAGGCCAUCAUAGUUUGUUACUUUCUCUUCAAGAAGUUCAUGAGAAAAAUGAGAAUUCUUAAACGCCGAAAUGGUGAACAUUCUUCAGCCAGGAAUCUUACCACCGAAGUUGUUCUUCGGUUUGUAUUCUUUGUUCUACUCUUUGCUACGGGCAUACCUGUUUCCAUUGGUUGCCAGAUGAGAAAAGAGAAAUCUCUUAAAUGUGAAGAUUCUCUCCUAUCGAUUUGUACUGCGAAUACUUUCUUUUGGGUUUUAACUAUUCUUCUGUUCAUAGCAUGGAUCAUAGUUUCUUUCAGUUUGAUUAUAAUUGGAAAUCAAUUGGAAACUCUCAAAGUUGAAGAUCGUCUCAAAGGAACUAGCACUACCGCCAUUGUCAUUUCGCGUGUAUUUCUUCCGGAGCUCAUUCUACUGAUCAUGCCUUUUACCUAUAGGUGCAGAAAAUGUGAAAAGGGUGAAGAAUGUCUCUCAGGCUUUUGUAUUACUGCCAUUCUCCUUUUCUGUGGAUCCAUUUUACAUAUUGCAUGGGUCAUAAUUCGUAUCUAUUUGUGGAAGCAAAGUCAAACACCAAAACGUGAAAAAGGAAAACGGUGCAGAUUAAGAACUCACAGUUUAAACAUCCUUUCAAAAGUCGUCCGGAAAAAUUUGCUUGCUUCAAAUCUACGAAACUAUCGGAGCUCAGAGCACAGGACAACUUCUGGUCAACAAUGAAUAAAAACAUUCGGCAAGGAAAUAAUGUCACCAGGUUAACCAACCAGAUUGCUGAAGUUCACAAACAGAAAAAAUAUUUGCUCAAAGCAUCCACGAAAAAAUCAAAUAACGUCAUCAAAUUUACAACCAAUCGCAUUUUCAUAGACAUCAGACAAAGCUAAUUAAAAUUCAUUAAAAUGACAGAUCUAUCGGACUUUCAAAGAGGUAAAAAUUGUUGGUGCUCGUAUGGCAGGCGCUAGCGUACGAAAACAGCCGAAAUGUUUGGUGUAUCAAGAAGUACUACCAGUAAUUGCAGUCUUUGAAAAAGAGGGAAAAACUUCCUCAUCGAAACAAAACUCCGGAAGAAAACCAAAAUUUUCAGAGAGAGACCGUUGGACUCUUAUGGGAAUCAUUAGAAAAGAUCGCAAAAUUACAGCUCCUAAAAUUACAGGAGAGCUUAAUGACCACCUCGAGAACCCAGUUUCCAUAAAACUGUUCACCGGGAGCUACACAAAGCCGGAUUUCACAGGAGGGCUACAAUCAGAAAACCAUUACUUUCAAAAAGAAACGUUGCAAAGCGUUUAGAGAGAAGUAAAAACCUUCAUAAUUGGUCGCAGUGGAAGUAUGUUAUUUUCUCGGACGAGUCAUCCUUUACCUUAUUUCUUACCACCGGCCGAGUAUACACGUGGAGACAGCCAAAAGAAGCAUUUGACCCAGACUGCCUUCUUGUAACUAUUAAUCAUGGAGGAGGAUAUGUGAUUAUCUGCGUCGGGGCUACCAUAUCUUGGAAAUCCGCCGGCCAAUGGUUUCCCUUGAUGGUGGAAUUAAUAAUCAAGAUUAUUUAAGCAUCCUAUGGUUGCAGAACUGUUUCUAGAGCGAAACGCAAUCUUUCAGUACGAUAAUGCACCAAUUGACACAGCUAAAGUUGUUACUGAAUGGCACGAGGAACAUUCUAGUGUAGUUGAACAUCUUAUCUGGCCACCACAGUCCCCAGAUCUUAAUAUUAUUGAACAUUUAUGGUACAUUUUAGAAAAACAAGUAAGGAGUUGAUAUCCUCCACCAUUAUCACUAUAAGAACUUGAGACUGUUUUAGCUGAAGAAUGGACAAAAAUUCCUCUGGAAACAAUUCAAACUUUGUAUGAGUCCAUACCUCGUAGAAUUAUUUGUAUCUAUAAUAUAUAUAGGGAAAUCAAAAUAAAAAUAUGGGAAACAACUAAAAGAGAAAUGACAUACACAGUGAAUGUGCUAGUCUGAUGUUCAUAUUAAGGUGAGUAACAUUUCGAGUGUGGGUCUUUGUCAGGAAAAGGAUAGAGUAGAGAUCCAGAGAUAAGGGAAAGAAUAGUCUGAGAAAUGCCAGUAUGUAGUGACAUGGCUGAAGAGACUUAAUGUUGAGAUAGAUAGAGAAAGUAGGUUUUCAAGGCAAGAUAGUGAGAAAAUGACCAGUGUCUGUAUAUUCGUUUUUCUGUCAAUGAUGAACGCGUGACGGACUGGUGCUGCAAGGUUAAUAGCAGUAGUGAGAUUUGGUGCUGAGUUGAGCUAGGGUGUGUGUGUGUGAGUGAGUGUUGCUGUAUGUGUACGUCAUUGUUUGUGUGUACGAGCUGUGGAUAUGUAUGUAUGUAUGUUUAUGUGAGCUUGUGUGUAUGUUGGUUUGUGUAUAUGUGUGUGCAUGCAUUCCUGCGUAUGUAUGUGUUGUGUGCGUAUACUGCUGUGUGUGUGUGUGUGUGAAGGAUUUUAGCGCAUGCCAGGAUAUGGAAACGAAUAUUUGUUUAGUUGGUACGAAUAUAAAAUGUGGGUGUAGAAGCUACGUAUAUAUAUGCGUGGAAGUGUGAGAAAGAUGACGUAGAAUAAAAUAAUUUGAAUUCCUUCAAAAACUUAAAAUUAAAUUUAAUGAUAAUUAAAAAAUAUAAAA